rnacentral:rRNA from 1 species
UAAAGAUUCAUCGCUGAUAGAUAGGCAUGCGUUCCAUUAGGCAGUUGGCGGGGUAACGGCCCACCAAACCGACGAUGGAUAGGGGUUCUGAGAGGAAGGUCCCCCACAUUGGUACUGAGACACGGACCAAACUCCUACGGGAGGCAGCAGUGAGGAAUAUUGGUCAAUGGGCGUAAGCCUGAACCAGCCAAGUCGCGUGAGGGAUGAAGGUUCUAUGGAUCGUAAACCUCUUUUAUAAGGGAAUAAAGUGCGGGACGUGUCCCGUUUUGUAUGUACCUUAUGAAUAAGGAUCGGCUAACUCCGUGCCAGCAGCCGCGGUAAUACGGAGGAUCCGAGCGUUAUCCGGAUUUAUUGGGUUUAAAGGGUGCGUAGGCGGCCUUUUAAGUCAGCGGUGGAAGUCUGUGGCUCAACCAUAGAAUUGCCGUUGAAACUGGGAGGCUUGAGUAUGUUUGAGGCAGGCGGAAUGCGUGGUGUAGCGGUGAAAUGCUUAGAUAUCACGCAGAACCCCGAUUGCGAAGGCAGCCUGCCAAGCCAUGACUGACGCUGAUGCACGAAAGCGUGGGGAUCAAACAGGAUUAGAUACCCUGGUAGUCCACGCAGUAAACGAUGA